rnacentral:rRNA from 1 species
CCUACGGGUGGCAGCAGUGAGGAAUAUUGGUCAAUGGACGAGAGUCUGAACCAGCCAAGUAGCGUGAAGGAUGACUGCCCUAUGGGUUGUAAACUUCUUUUAUAUGGGAAUAAAAUGUUCCACGUGUGGGAUUUUGUAUGUACCAUAUGAAUAAGGAUCGGCUAACUCCGUGCCAGCAGCCGCGGUAAUACGGAGGAUCCGAGCGUUAGCCGGAUUUAUUGGGUUUAAAGGGAGCGUAGGUGGAUUGUUAAGUCAGUUGUGAAAGUUUGCGGCUCAACCGUAAAAUUGCAGUUGAAAAUGGCAGUCUUGAGUACAGUAGAGGUGGGCGGAAUGCGUGGUGUAGCGGUGAAAUGCUUAGAUAUCACGAAGAACUCCGAUUGCGAAGGCAGUUCACUGGACUGCAACUGACACUGAGGCUCGAAAGUGUGGGUAUCAAACAGGAUUAGAUACCCUAGUAGUC